GCCGGGCUGCAGAAAGUGGGUGUGCGCGGGCGCCGGGCUGUAGAAAGUGGGUUUGCGCGGGCGCCGCGCUACAGCAAGUGCUAACCCCAAGCCCUAGCAUGGUCGUUACCUAGCGGUGUGACCUUGGACGAGUCCCUUCACCUCCCUGAUCCUUUGUUUCCCAUUGCAUUAGGGAGGGGGUGAAGUUAGACUGGUGUUUCUGGAACCCAUACUGGCUGCCAGAAGGAAGAAAGGAUGCCUGUUCUGGGGGAGAAGACUGACAUUCCUCCUCCCUGUCUCCCCUGUGUCGGGAUCUCUGCGGCCUGAGUGCCGUGACUGAGGCACAGUCCUGCCUUGAACUGGCUGUGUGACCUGAAGGCAGCCGCUUCACCUCUCUGGUCUCAGCGUCCUCCUCGGCAGAAGAGGCAGUGAUGCUCAGGUUAAUGGAGUACCUACUGCGGCCCAGGCCCUGUUUUAGUCUCUGCAUACUCCUGAGAAAGAUGUGAUGAACUCGACAAAUUCCUUCGUUCUACAGGAAGAAAGGUUAUACAAGAGCAGUGGGCUUCUGAGAAAAUGAGGAAAUGCUAACCUCAUUGACCGGCCUCCUGCACCUGCCCCGAGGGACAGUAAUAAGAACCCCAUCUCGCAGAACACCUCUGCUGUAUGACGGGCCUUGAUAAUAUUCCCUCUGUGGAUGAGGUAAGUUACGAGUCAGUCGUUCAAAUUCACAUGACCGUUAGAUGCUACAGCUGGGACUCAAACCUGAGCUGUAAGUUUUUGGCCAGCAGCUCCGAGCCCUACAACUACCCUUCCUGGGGGAAGACCAGCAGGACGGACAGGGCCUCUGGAUUCCUUUGGAAGCGUCAGAGGAAAGCCUCCCCAGAUACUUGUCACGGCCUGUGUGUAGCCGAGAGCUGAUGCUAAAGGGAUCGUGGGAGCUUGUGCCCCGUGAGGGUUCCCCUGGUAGCCUGACGAGUUGGGGCUGGCUGGGGGCGAGGGAGGGGAGCCAGAAAGGCAUCUCCUUUUCCCUCCGUUUACCUCUUUGGUCCCUGACAGGCUAGGAGAAGUGGUGAACAGAGCUCUUGCCUGUGUGGGUUUUUCUAAAAGCUUUGGAUGACAGGCACAGAUACUUCCCCUAAUUAUAUCUCUGCCUUUUCCAAAAAUUGGAAAGGCCGAUUGAGAAGAAAGAAGCCUGGAUCCCUCUUAGAGCUGUCCUGAGAGUCACAGAGGGUUGUUCUGGGAUUCUGGGAACCUAAGGUGAUGAGGUGAUUCCAAGGACCCAGCCCCAGGGCCCUGAGGUGCAGGUAGACACCUGGGCAGAGGGAGGGGUUCCACAUUUAAUCCCACCCCAGCCUUGGGUCGUGUGCGGAACUUGCAGCCAGCCUGGGAAAGCUACAGCUGCAAAGACAAUCUGGAAAUGGCCCAAAGUCCUGAAUAACCCCAGGGAACCAUAGGUCUAAUCCACAGGCCACCUGGUGUGUGUUUGAAACCCUGGGGAGAACGGGAUGUGUUCCUGAAGCAGAGUGGAGGGGGAAGCCUCAGGCCUUAGCCAAGAAAGAUGUAGAACACAGAGAAGCCGAAAGCCGAGUACUUUGGGACGGUGGGAUGUAGCCGCUGGAGGUGUGGGAUUACGCCGAGCAGGGAGCUAGUCAGAGGGGGGAGGUACCUAGAGCCAAGAGAUGCCUGGUGGUGGAGAAAAGCAGCUGAGCAUGCACAGAAGAGGACACAUUGAGCAGUGUCAGGGAGGGACUGACAAGGACAAGGACCUGUGGGCUGGCAGAUGAGACAGAAAGCAUCAGACAGGCAGGCAGAGAGCCUGAGGGGUGUGGGCUGCGAUGCGGUGGGGGCCACCGGGGGUUGUCUUUGGCACGGGGCUGAUGAAUUUGAGCUGCAGAGUAUUGUUUGGCACGAGGUAUUGCGGUGAGGGUAGAGGUGUGGACAGAAUCGGGAAGCAAGCUCCGUGUGCAGUGGGAGAGCCUCGGGGACAGCCCUCCUCAAGCAAAGGAAGGCUCACGGGGGUCCCUUCCAAGGGGGCAGUGGUUUGGCAUCCCUUCACCCUGCGCACCGGAGCAAAGUGGUGGGAAUGCCUUUUCUAGACCACACGUUAGAAGUCCAUUUGACACAGACCUGCACUGACUGUUCAGGUCAGAGAGGGAUCGGAGUAAGAAAGCUCUCAAAGCGGUUCCAAGGGUCCUGCCUGAGGAGCUCUGGGCCAGUCAGCUCCCAGGUCGUGCCACAACUUUCCCCUUGUCGGUGCAGACAGCGCAGCUCUCUUCCAGGAAACCGUGCCGCCCUGGGCCUUGCAGAUCCAAGGGCCAUCUUACGAGGACACUCCUGUUACACCCGUGCCUCCUCAGCCAUCUGCCUUCUCGUGCUGGGCUCACCUGCUCACCCUUCCUUCUUCGAACUGCACCAGCCGCCUGCCUUGCUAAGAACAGUUACCCACGGUGUGAAAAUAAGGCAAGGGAGGGAUGCGUGUCCUUUCACUGCUGUGCUGGAGUUUGAUAUGAAGGCUCUUCCAAGGAUUCUUCAAUGAUGCGUACCCUCACUUGGCUCACCGUUUGCUAUUGAUCAGGACCUGGAUCCACUGGUUACUUGGAGAUUCAUGCCGCCAGAUGGAGACACGAAUGAUUUCUGCCUGGUAGAAAAGAUGACCCCAAAGGGUAUGGUUAUGGAGGGACAUACACCAAUUUUGAAAAUCUAACCCAGUAGCUGUCUUAUCCCACAUUCUUCUUCAGUGGCUUUAACACCAUACUUCAGAUGCUCCCUCAGUCAGCUUGUCUCCCUACCUGUUCCUUCAUGAAUGAGUAAAAGGAAUCUUUGACGCGUUUACGCUGUUAUUAUGCAUUCGUGUUUUGAACAUUUUGAACAUUUGGCAGCUUUAGAGAUUGUGCCACAUAAAGACCCAAAAGGGCUCACUUGCCCAAGAAGGGCCUCGCGUGCUGCGUAGUCUCAGGAACUGCCUCUCCUGAGGCUCCAGUGGAUUACUGAUCCCAUGAACCAACAUCAGUUCUGUGUCACGGUUAAAAUUAAGAGAAGCGUAAAAUUUAGCGUUCACUAAUCUGAAUGAGAGUUCUGACAAGUUUUACAUCAACUAUUACCGUAUCCUUUCUAUAGUGCAUCAGCUUAAAUAUAAUUCUCAACGUCCUUAGUUAAAAGUAAAACCUUAGCUUAAUAUUAAAUCAAAGUCAUGAACGGACGGUGUUUGGAUACCUGAAGAGUUUUUAAAUAAGCUAGCCCAUUGAAACGUGGAGCCAACUUCAUUUUGGAAAUGUGACCUUCUUUUUACCGGGAUAUAAUUAGACCAAAUAAUUCGGGAACCAAGGUCAUGCCUGGCAUGUCAUCUUUAAAAAUGCCUUUUAUUGGGGCGCCUGGGUGGCUCAGUCGGUUGAGCAGCAGACUUCGGCUCAGGUCAUGAUCUCGCGGUCCGUGAGUUCGAGCCCCGCGUCAGGCUCUGUGCUGACAGCACAGAGCCUGGAGCCUGCUUCAGAUUCUGUGUCUCCCUCUCUCUCUGACCCUCCCCCGUUCAUGCUCUGUCUCUCUCUGUCUC